UGAAAUGAUCAAUAAAACAGUGUUCUGCAGCCAAACAAAGUGGUCGGAUGAAAUGAGAACAAAUGGCGCAGUUGGAGAAAAAGGCUAUCAAAACUAAUAUAUGAUGUUAGAAACAAAGGCCGUUGUUCCCUUUACCUUGGGAAUAUGUAGUGACUGGAACGGAAUAUACAGGUGCUUUCGAGUGCAGGUAUUUAUUGAAUCCCUACUGGUGGUCAGACCCUGUUCUGGGAACCAGGGUUGCAAUAGUGAACACAACAUACUAAAUGCCCUGUCCUUAUAAAGCCUGUAUGGAAACAAGAAAGAACAACAAUGAACAAGAUACACAGGGACAGAGUUUCACCGUGUU
rnacentral:lncRNA from 1 species